UGGGAUAACUUCGGGAAACCGGAGCUAAUACCGGAUAACAUUUGGAACCGCAUGGUUCUAAAGUGAAAGAUGGUUUUGCUAUCACUUAUAGAUGGACCCGCGCCGUAUUAGCUAGUUGGUAAGGUAACGGCUUACCAAGGCGACGAUACGUAGCCGACCUGAGAGGGUGAUCGGCCACACUGGAACUGAGACACGGUCCAGACUCCUACGGGAGGCAGCAGUAGGGAAUCUUCCGCAAUGGGCGAAAGCCUGACGGAGCAACGCCGCGUGAGUGAUGAAGGGUUUCGGCUCGUAAAACUCUGUUAUUAGGGAAGAACAAAUGUGUAAGUAACUGUGCACGUCUUGACGGUACCUAAUCAGAAAGCCACGGCUAACUACGUGCCAGCAGCCGCGGUAAUACGUAGGUGGCAAGCGUUAUCCGGAAUUAUUGGGCGUAAAGCGCGCGUAGGCGGUUUCUUAAGUCUGAUGUGAAAGCCCACGGCUCAACCGUGGAGGGUCAUUGGAAACUGGGAAACUUGAGUGCAGAAGAGGAAAGUGGAAUUCCAUGUGUAGCGGUGAAAUGCGCAGAGAUAUGGAGGAACACCAGUGGCGAACGCGACUUUC
rnacentral:rRNA from 1 species